rnacentral:rRNA from 1 species
GACGAAGGUGGCGAGCGUUGUUCGGAAUCACUGGGUAUAAAGCGCACGUAGGUGGUGCCGUAAGUCGGAUGUGAAAUCCCUCGGCCUAACCGAGGAAUUGCGUUUGAUACUGCGGUGCUUGAGGAUCAGAGGGGUGCAUGGAAUUUCCGGUGGAGCGGUGAAAUGCGUUUAUAUCGGAAGGAACUCCGGCGGCGAAAGCGAUGCACUGGCUGAUUUCUGACGCUGAGGUGCGAAAGCCAGGGGAGCAAACGGG